rnacentral:sRNA from 1 species
AUAAUAAGGUCGAUAAAAUGACUAAGUGUUUGAGUUAAUGAUUCCGGUCCGGCUGAAUCAUUAACUCAAAGACUAAGUCAUUUUAUCGACCUUGUUAU